UGGGUUUGUUCCAGAAAAGGUAGAAGUAUACCUUGUUCGGCCACAGUGACACAACGUGGACUGAUUUCAGUCCAAAUGGUAACCAUAUUCAUGACUGUGACCCGGCAUUAUGAAGAAUACUAAACUUACGGCAAAGGUUAAUAGAAUUCAUUGGGGAUGAAUUUCUGAUUACUGAAGUGAUGGUCAGUGGACAUCGACAUUUAAUGUUUGCUACAAAGACACAGUUGGAAUUAUUAAAAUCUUGCAAAAUAUGGUUCAUGGAUGGUAUGUUUAAGGUCAUGAGGAAGCCCUUUUCACAGCUGUGGAUCAUUCACGGUUUUCUGAAAAAGGGAGACUGAAUGAAACUGGUGCCGCUAUGCUUCGUCAAGAUGACGAGAAGGACUUCUGAAGAUUAUGAAGAGGUACUGCUGAAGAUAAAAGAGAAAUUUCAACCGGUAGUGGAGUAUGGCAUGCUGGACUUCGAACCAGGUUGCUGGUCUGCUAUAAAGAAAGUGUUCCCUGGUAUGAAAUUAAAGGGCUGUGUUUUCCAUUGGAUACAAUGUGUUUGGAGGAAAGUUCAGAGUGUUGGUCUGGCGGGUUCUUACUACGAAAGGAAGACCGUUUAUAACUACAUCCGUACUUUGAUGGCUCUACCUGUCAACCACAUGGGAGUUGCCUUCGACAAGUUGUGUGUGAUGGCAAACGCAGACCCUUUAAGGGAACUCGUUUCAUAUAUCAGACAGACCAGGCCCCGAGUUCACAAACCAUUCUCAGACUUAACUUAAGUUUACUCAAAAUUGUUUGACUUAUUUAAAGAUACAUUAUGUAAGAUUUAGAUAAAGAGCUAGCCAUUCUUGCUAUAAUAGUUCAAAGAUAGAUAAUAUAAAAUGAAUAAUUUAAAAUAUUCUAUGAGAGAGAGAGAAAUGGGGUUUAACGUCCACUCCACACAAACUAGGUCAUUUCGGGACUAACAUAUGGUUUAAUUUUAUUUCAACAAUUCGCUUGCGCAUAGGGGUCUUUAGCAGUGGGAGGAAACUGGAGGACCUGGAGAAAACCCACGAGGUUGGACAGGCGACCCUACUCCUUGUCACGUACAACAGGGGGUUCGAAACCACGCCAAUCGACUCAAUGACAGACUUUAUGAUACAGCGCGCACGCUAACCAUUCAGCCAUCCAACCCCCCAAAAUAUUCUAUGAAUGGCAUUUAGUAAUUGGAACAUAAUCAAAAACACAAAAGUGUGUUUUUGAAUAAUUUGAAAGUUUCAUUCAAACUACUUUAUGGCGAGCGAAUAUAUUAGCCUUUAAAGGUUUGACAAGAGAUGAGCAAUAAUUUCAACCACCAUACUGGUUGGUCGAAGCUAACUCUCGCUCCUCCAUUUUUAGCUUAAAUCAAAAUAUGGCUGAACUGUUCUAAUCUAUUUAAUAUUGGAGAAAACCGAUGCCAUCGAGAGUUGAUUAUGGCCUGGGUAAGUUAAUUAAUGUCUAAUUAAUAAUUUAGAAAACAUUUCAGGCCUGAAGAAAGACUUGCAAUGGGCAGAUUUAGCUCUUGCAUAAUUUAUGUUUAAUUAAAAUAUAGCCCUUUAUAAAACUUUUGUUGUUUUAAUGUAUCAAAUAGAUCAAUGGCAGAUGGUGGAAGAGGGAAUCAAUUUUCGAAAUUGUCGAAAAACAUACUGCAAAAUAAAUGAAAAGAUGUUUGAUGCUUGGGAGAAGUAUACGGAGUGGCCUAUAACAACAAGUGGUUUUCUGAAGUUAAUUUUUGGGAUGAAAUGACCGUAGAUGAAAGAUAGACUAUAACAACACAAUUUUUAAAGGAAAAAAAAGUUACUGAUGUAUU